rnacentral:rRNA from 1 species
AGAGUUUGAUCCUGGCUCAGGAUGAACGCUAGCGGCAGGCUUAACACAUGCAAGUCGAGGGGCAGCACGGUGUAGCAAUACAUUGGUGGCGACCGGCGCACGGGUGCGUAACGCGUAUACAAUUUGCCUUAUACUGGGAGAUAGCCCGGAGAAAUUCGGAUUAAUAUCCCAUAAUAAUUUUGGUCCGCAUGGAUUGAUUUUUAAAGCUACGGCGGUAUAAGAUGAGUAUGCGUCUGAUUAGCUAGUUGGUAAGGUAACGGCUUACCAAGGCAACGAUCAGUAGGGGGCCUGAGAGGGUUAUCCCCCCACACUGGAACUGAGACACGGUCCAGACUCCUACGGGAGGCAGCAGUGAGGAAUAUUGGUCAAUGGAGGCAACUCUGAACCAGCCAUGCCGCGUGUAGGAAGAAGGCCCUAUGGGUUGUAAACUACUUUUAUUGGGGAAGAAACCCUCUUACGUGUAAGAGGCUGACGGUACCCAAGGAAUAAGGACCGGCUAACUCCGUG